CGGUGUGUUUGACAUCUUCAGUUGAGUCAAGGCAGCUGUAGAAAACAAGUGAGCAUCUUACCAAAUAUGAAGUUAAUAUUGAUAUCAAUAUUGGCGCUGUCAUCAGUCACAGCAGAUCCCGCUGUCAUCCUCAGUGGGUUGCUGCCCCCAGGGCUAACUUCUGCUGCCCUGAUAGCCCCCGGACCUGCGCCCCUUGUUGCCCCAGUAGCCCCCUUAGCAUACAGCCAACUGGCCCCGUAUACCUCAGUACUAUCAGACUACAGAUACAGUUAUAGUUCGUCUUAUCAGGACUAUUACCCUGUAGUAAGCUCAGCAUUAACUAUGCCUUAUACUCCCAUACCUUACGCGUACUCUACUGAUUGGUAUUACCGUAACUAAUCUGUACAGUAUUUAUUAUACUUACAGUUUAAUUUUGAUCAUUUAUUGUGUUAAUUGUUUUAUUGUUGUUUUCAUUUAGUGGAAAUUAAAUUGUUGAAAGAA